AUGGAUGUCAAGUUGGCAUUCCUCAACGGUGACUUGAAGGAGGAAGUCUAUGUGCAUCAGCCACCGGGUUUUGCGAUUCUCGGCCAGGAGGGCAAGGUACUCCGCCUGCGCAAGGCCCUCUAUGGCCUACGACAGGCACCUAGGGCGUGGAACGCCAAGCUGGACUCCACGCUAAAGAAGAUGGGCUUCGAGCAAAGCCCGCAUGAGGCUGCCGUCUACCGACGGGGCAGUGGAGGAAAUGCCUUGCUGGUGGGCGUCUAUGUUGACGACUUGGUGAUCACCGGCACCAAAGAUGCAGAAGUGGCGACGUUCAAGGAAGACAUGAAGGCUACCUUCCACAUGGGUGAUCUGGGGCUCCUCUCCUUCUAUCUAGGGAUUGAGGUGCACCAGGACCACUCCGGGAUCGCGCUUCGACAGUCCGCCUAUGCCAAGCGCAUCGUUGAGCUAGCUUGGCUCACCGACUGCCAUCCAGCUCUCACUCCAAUGGAGGAGAGGCUGAAACUGAGCCACGACAGCACGACGAAGGAAGUGGAUGCUACGCAGUACCGACGCCUUGUGGGGAGCCUUCGCUACCUCACCCACCCACGGCCGGACUUGGCAUUCUCCGUCGGCUAUGUCAGUCGGUUCAUGGAGCGACCGAUCUGGCAAUCAGUCAAGCAGCAGGUGGUGGCCCUGUCCAGCUGUGAGGCUGAGUACAUAGCGGCCUCCACCACCUGCACUCAGGCGCUCUGGCUCGCUCGACUGCUUGGUGAUCUUCUCGCUCAAGACACCAGAACGGUGCAGCUCCUGGUGGAGAGCAAGUCCGCCCUGGCCCUGGCAAAGAACCCCGUGUUC
rnacentral:rRNA from 1 species